CAAGUCGAACGAUGAAGCCCAGCUUGCUGGGUGGAUUAGUGGCGAACGGGUGAGUAACACGUGAGUAACCUGCCCCUGACUCUGGGAUAAGCCCGGGAAACUGGGUCUAAUACCGGAUAUGACCAUGGGACGCAUGUCUUGUGGUGGAAAGAUUUAUCGGUUGGGGAUGGACUCGCGGCCUAUCAGCUUGUUGGUGAGGUAAUGGCUCACCAAGGCGACGACGGGUAGCCGGCCUGAGAGGGUGACCGGCCACACUGGGACUGAGACACGGCCCAGACUCCUACGGGAGGCAGCAGUGGGGAAUAUUGCACAAUGGGCGCAAGCCUGAUGCAGCGACGCCGCGUGAGGGAUGACGGCCUUCGGGUUGUAAACCUCUUUCAGUAGGGAAGAAGCGAGAGUGACGGUACCUGCAGAAGAAGCGCCGGCUAACUACGUGCCAGCAGCCGCGGUAAUACGUAGGGCGCAAGCGUUAUCCGGAUUUAUUGGGCGUAAAGAGCUCGUAGGCGGUUUGUCGCGUCUGCCGUGAAAGUCCGAGGCUCAACCUCGGAUCUGCGGUGGGUACGGGCAGACUAGAGUGAUGUAGGGGAGACUGGAAUUCCUGGUGUAGCGGUGAAAUGCGCAGAUAUCAGGAGGAACACCGAUGGCGAAGGCAGGUCUCUGGGCAUUUACUGACGCUGAGGAGCGAAAGCAUGGGGAGCGAACAGGAUUAGAUACCCUGGUAGUCCAUGCCGUAAACGUUGGGCACUAGGUGUGGGGGACAUUCCACGUUUUCCGCGCCGUAGCUAACGCAUUAAGUGCCCCGCCUGGGGGAGUACGGCCGCAAGGCUAAAACUCAAAGGAAUUGACGGGGGCCCGCACAAGCGGCGGAGCAUGCGGAUUAAUUCGAUGCAACGCGAAGAACCUUACCAAGGCUUGACAUGUUCCAGACCGCUCAAAAAAUGGGGUUUCCCUU
rnacentral:rRNA from 1 species